rnacentral:rRNA from 1 species
AGCAGCCGCGGUAAUUCCAGCUCCAAUAGCGUAUAUUAAAGUUGUUGCAGUUAAAAAGCUCGUAGUUGAAUUUCGGGAUCAAUAUUUCGGUCAUGCCGUUGGUAUGCACUGUUAUCAUUGAUUUCUCACCUUCUAAAGAACCGUAAUGCCAUUAACUUGGUGUUACGGGGAAUUAGGACUGUUACCUUGAAAAAAUUAGAGUGUUUAAAGCAGGCUCACACUUGAAUACAUUAGCAUGGAAUAAUGAAAUAGGACAUCCGAUUCUAUUUUGUUGGUUUCUAGGAUCGAUGUAAUGAUUAAUAGGGAUAGUUGGGGGCAUUAGUAUUCAAUUGUCAGAGGUGAAAUUCUUGGAUUUAUUGAAGACUAACUACUGCGAAAGCAUUUGCCAAGGAUGUUUUCAUUAAUCAAGAACGAAAGUUAGGGGAUCGAAGACGAUCAGAUACCGUCGUAGUCUUAACCAUAAACUAUGCCGACUAGGGACCGGAUGAUGUAAUUUUUUAAUGACUCA